rnacentral:rRNA from 1 species
GAUGAACGCUGGCGGCGUGCCUAACACAUGCAAGUCGAGCGGCAGCGCGAGUAGUUUACUACUUGGCGGCGAGCGGCGGACGGCUGAGUAACGCGUGGGAACAUGCCCCAAAGUGAGGAAUAACUGCCCGAAAGGGUAGCUAAUACCGCAUAUGGUCUUCGGAUUAAAGGAUUUAUCCGCUUUGGGAGUGGCCUGCGUACGAUUAGAUAGUUGGUGAGGUAAUGGCUCACCAAGUCGACGAUCGUUAACUGGUUUGAGAGGAUGAUCAGUCAGACUGGAACUGAGACACGGUCCAGACUCCUACGGGAGGCAGCAGUGAGGAAUCUUCCACAAUGGGCGAAAGCCUGAUGGAGCAACUCCGCGUGCAGGAUGAAGGCCUUCGGGUUGUAAACUGCUUUAUGAGUGAAGAAUAUGACGGUAACUCAUGAAUAAGGGUACGGCUAACUACGUG